rnacentral:rRNA from 1 species
UUAGGAAUAUUCGUCAAUGGGGGAAACCCUGAACGAGCAAUGCCGCGUGAACGAUGAAGGCCCUAUGGGUUGUAAAGUUCUGUUGCAUGGGACGAACGGCUAGGAUAGGAAAUGAUCUUAGUGUGACGGUACCAUGCCAGAAAGCUCCGGCUAACUACGUGCCAGCAGCCGCGGUAAUACGUAUGGAGCAAGCGUUAUCCGGAUUUACUGGGUGUAAAGGGAGUGUAGGUGGCCAUGCAAGUCAGAAGUGAAAAUCCGGGGCUCAACCCCGGAACUGCUUUUGAAACUGUAAGGCUAGAGUGCAGGAGGGGUGAGUGGAAUUCCUAGUGUAGCGGUGAAAUGCGUAGAUAUUAGGAGGAACACCAGUGGCGAAGGCGGCCUGCUGGGCUUUAACUGACGCUGAGGCUCGAAAGCGUGGGUAGCAAACAGGAUUAGAUACCCUGGUAGUCCACGCUGUAAACGAUGAUUACUAGGUGUGGGGGAUUUCGGUCCUCCGUGCCGGAGCAAACGCAAUAAGUAAUCCACCUGGGGAGUACGGCCGCAAGGCUGAAACUCAAAGGAAUUGACGGGGGCCCGCACAAGCAGUGGAUUAUGUGGUUUAAUUCGAAGCAACGCGAAGAACCUUACCAGGUCUUGACAUCGAGUGACGUAUCCAGAGAUGGAUAUUUCCUUCGGGACACAAAGACAGGUGGUGCAUGGUUGUCGUCAGCUCGUGUCGUGAGAUGUUGGGUUAAGUCCCGCAACGAGCGCAACCCUUAUCAUUAGUUGCUACGCAAGAGCACUCUAAUGAGACUGCCGUUGACAAAACGGAGGAAGGUGGGGAUGACGUCAAAUCAUCAUGCCCCUUAUGACCUGGGCUACACACGUACUACAAUGGCGAUCAAACAGAGGGAAGCAAGACAGCGAUGUGGAGCCAAUCCCAAAAAAUCGCCCCAGUUCAGAUUGCAGGCUGCAACUCGCCUGCAUGAAGUCGGAAUUGCUAGUAAUCGCAGAUCAGCAUGCUGCGGUGAAUACGUUCCC